GUGAGGAAUAUUGCGCAAUGGAGGCAACUCUGACGCAGCCAUGCCGCGUGCAGGAAGAAGGCGCUACGCGUUGUAAACUGCUUUUAACCGGGAAGAAACCCCAGGACGUGUCCUGGGUUGACGGUACCGGAGGAAUAAGCACCGGCUAACUUCGUGCCAGCAGCCGCGGUAAUACGAAGGGUGCAAGCUUUAUCCGGAUUCCUUGGGUUUAAAGGGUGCGUAGGCGGAGCGUUAAGGCAGUGGUGAAAUCCUGCAGCUUAACUGUAGACUUGCCAUUGAUACUGGCGCUCUUGAGUGCGCUUGAAGUGGGCGGAAUGUGCCGUGUAGCGGUGAAAUGCUUAGAUAUGGCACAGAACACCAAUUGCGAAGGCAGCUCACUAAGGCGAUACUGACGCUGAGGCACGAAAGCGUGGGGAUCGAACAGGAUUAGAAACCCUAGUAGUCC
rnacentral:rRNA from 1 species